rnacentral:rRNA from 1 species
GUAGGUGGCAAGCGUUGUCCGGAAUUAGUUGGGACGUAAAGCGCGCGCAGGCGGUUCUUUAAGUCUGAUGUGAAAGCCCACGGCUCAACCGUGGAGGGUCAUUGGAAACUGGAGAACUUGAGUACAGAAGAGGAAAGCGGAAUUCCACGUGUAGCGGUGAAAUGCGUAGAGAUGUGGAGGAACACCAGUGGCGAAGGCGGCUUUCUGGUCUGUAACUGACGCUGAGGCGCGAAAGCGUGGGGAGCAAACAGGAUUAGAUACCCUGGUAGUCCACGCCGUAAACGAUGAGUGCUAAGUGUUAGGGGGUUUCCGCCCCCCUUAGUGCUGCAGCUAACGCAUUAAGCACUCCGCCUGGAGUACGGCCGCAAGGCUG